CCCUUAGAUGUUCUGGGCUGCACGCGCGCUACACUGAAGCGUUCAACGAGUAUUCACCUUGCCCGGGAGGGUUGGGUAAUCUUUUGAAAACGCUUCGUGAUGGGGAUAGAUUAUUGCAAUUAUUAAUCUUCAACGAGGAAUUCCUAGUAAGCGCAAGUCAUCAGCUUGCGUUGAUUACGUCCCUGCCCUUUGCACACACCGCCCGUCGCUCCUACCGAUUGAAUGGUCCGGUGAAGCGUUCGGACCGUGGCCUUUGGACGGUUCGCCGUCUGUUGGCUGCGGGAAGUUCGUUAAACCUUAUCAUUUAGAGGAAGGAGAAGUCGUANCA
rnacentral:rRNA from 1 species